UACGUAGGGGGCGAGCGUUAUCCAGAUUUACUGGGCGUAAAGCGCACGUAGGCGGCUUUUUAAGUCAGGGGUGAAAUCCUGGAGCUCAACUCCAGAACUGCCUUUGAUACUGAGAAGCUUGAGUCCGGGAGAGGUGAGUGGAACUGCGAGUGUAGAGGUGAAAUUCGUAGAUAUUCGCAAGAACACCAGUGGCGAAGGCGGCUCACUGGCCCGGUACUGACGCUGAGAUGCGAAAGCGUGGGGAGCAAACAGG
rnacentral:rRNA from 1 species